GACGAACGCUGGCGGUGUGCUUAACACAUGCAAGUCGAACGGUAAGGCCCUUUCGGGGGUACACGAGUGGCGAACGGGUGAGUAACACGUGAGUAACCUGCCCUCAUCUCUGGGAUAACAGUCGGAAACGGUUGCUAAUACUGGAUAUGAGCUUGCAAGGCAUCUUGUGGGUUGGAAAGAUAUUUUUUGGUUGGGGAUGGACUCGCGGCCUAUCAGCUUGUUGGUGAGGUAGUGGCUCACCAAGGCUUCGACGGGUAGCCGGCCUGAGAGGGCGACCGACCACAUUGGGACUGAGAUACGGCCCAGACUCCUACGGGAGGCAGCAGUGGGGAAUAUUGCACAAUGGACGGAAGUCUGAUGCAGCAACGCCGCGUGCGGGAUGACGGCCUUCGG
rnacentral:rRNA from 2 species